rnacentral:rRNA from 1 species
ACGCCAGUCUGCAUGGAGCCGGCCUUGAAAUACCACCCUUUAAUGUUUGAUGUUCUAACGUGGACCCGUGAUCCGGGUUGCGGACAGUGUCUGGUGGGUAGUUUGACUGGGGCGGUCUCCUCCUAAAGAGUAACGGAGGAGCACGAAGGUUGGCUAAUCCUGGUCGGACAUCAGGAGGUUAGUGCAAUGGCAUAAGCCAGCUUGACUGCGAGCGUGACGGCGCGAGCAGGUGCGAAAGCAGGUCAUAGUGAUCCGGUGGUUCUGAAUGGAAGGGCCAUCGCUCAACGGAUAAAAGGUACUCCGGGGAUAACAGGCUGAUACCGCCCAAGAGUUCAUAUCGACGGCGGUGUUUGGCACCUCGAUGUCGGCUCAUCACAUCCUGGGGCUGAAGUAGGUCCCAAGGGUAUGGCUGUUCGCCAUUUAAAGUGGUACGCGAGCUGGGUUUAGAACGUCGUGAGACAGUUCGGUCCCUAUCUGCCGUGGGCGCUGGAGAACUGAGGGGGGCUGCUCCUAGUACGAGAGGACCGGAGUGGACGCAUCACUGGUGUUCGGGUUGUCAUGCCAAUGGCACUGCCCGGUAGCUAAAUGCGGAAGAGAUAAGUGCUGAAAGCAUCUAAGCACGAAACUUGCC